rnacentral:rRNA from 1 species
UUAACCGAAUAGGGGAGCCGGAGGGAAACCGAGUCUUAACUGGGCGUUAAGUUGCAGGGUAUAGACCCGAAACCCGGUGAUCUAGCCAUGGGCAGGUUGAAGGUUGGGUAACACUAACUGGAGGACCGAACCGACUAAUGUUGAAAAAUUAGCGGAUGACCUGUGGCUGGGGGUGAAAGGCCAAUCAAACCGGGAGAUAGCUGGUUCUCCCCGAAAGCUAUUUAGGUAGCGCCUCGUGAACUCAUCUCCGGGGGUAGAGCA